GCUGGAUCUUGUCGACUGCAGGAAAACACCGGGGCAGAGUGGAACUGAGAGAGGAGAAAAGAAGGAAGAUGGAGAUUUCAUUUCAUUAAGCUGCAGGGAGGGAGAUGCAACAACAGCCUUGAGAACAACUGGACUCAAAUAGAACUCUGUUCCAAGUUGCUGUCAGGUAAAAGUAGACGAUAGCAGACAACAAGAUUCUUAAUGUAGCCUUGAGACUGGAAUUCUCUCUUGGCAACCCCCUAAUCCUUAUUUGAACACUGUGACAACAAAGUAACUGUACUGUAGUUUACACAUUUAUUGUCUUCGGAAUGAACACUGAAAAAACAAUAGCUUGGACAAAAAAAAACAUUAUGUAAAACUUGUUGGGAUUUUAUUUUUCCUUCAGCAAAGUACCCGUCUGCUAUAUCAUGUUUAGAAAUCUGUCAUAUUACUUAUCUCACUUUCCUCCUAAAGUGUGCACUUGUUCACCUCCACUGUUUUGAAAGUCAGAUUAUUAAUUAUAUGACCAGAUACUCAAGAGCUUCCGAGUGGCUCAGCGGUCUAAGGCACUGCAUCUCAGUGCUAGAAGCUUCACUGCAGACCCUAGUUCGAUCCUGGGCUGUAUCACAACCGACCGUGAUAGGGAAUCCCAUUGGGCGGCGCGCAAUUGGCCCAGCGUUGUCCGGGAUAGGGGAGGGUUUGGCCGGGGUAGGCCGUCAUUGUAAAUAAGUAUUUGUUCUUAACUGACUUGCCUAGUUAAAUAAAAAUAUUUUUAAAAUACUCAAGUCGCCACCCUAACAAUGAAAAAAGAUCAUCUUCUGUGAAGUUUAUCAGCGGUUGGCUUCCAACGUUAUGGUGCAUUACCCACCUAAUGUACUAGAGUGUGGGCCAGUGACAGGGAUCGAGGAACUAAAUCCUAUCAGACAGCCCCGUUUCUCUUAAAAAAUAUAAAUAUUUGUGACUGUAUCUAUUGAUGUUCUACUCAGUAUGCUUAUUAAACUCAAUUCACACUGGAGAGAAAUGUUGUGGAAAGAGCAUUGCUCAUUCAGGGUCACUGAAAAAAUACCAGAGAGCACAAACGUGCAAAGGUGGAAAAAGUACUUAAUUGUCCUACUUGAGUAAAAGUAAAGAUACCUUACUAGAAAACGACUCAAGUAAAAGUGAAUGUCAUCCAGUAAAAAUACUACUUGAGGAAAAGUAAAAGUAUUUGUUUUUAAAUAUACUUAAGUAUCAAAAGUAAAUGGAAUUGCUAAUAUGAACUUAAGUAUCAAAAGUAGAAGUAUAAACCAUUUCAAAUUGCUUAAAUUAAGCAAACAAUAUGGCACUAUUAUUUUUGUUAUGUUUAUGGAUGGAUAGCCAGAGGCACACUCCAACACUCAGAUAUAAUUGACAAAUUAAGCCUUUGUGUUUAGUGAGUCUGCCAGAUCAGAGGCAGUAGGGAUGACCAGGGAUGUUCUCUUGUUAAGUGUGUGAAUUGGACCAUUUUCCUGUCAAAAUGUAACAAGUACUUUUGGGUGUCAAAAUAUAUGGAGUAAAAAGUAAAAGUUGGCAAAAAUAUAAAUAGUGAAGUACAGAUACCCCAAAAAACUACUUAAGUAGUACUUUCAAGUAUUUUUACUUAAGUACUUUACACCACUGUAAACUUGUCAUCUAAAUGGAAAAUGUCAUAGUGAACAGUUUAUGUAUAGAGGGGGAUGUUGAGGUGGGUGGGGGUGUUCAGAGCUGUAUCUUAUUUAAUUAACUCCCAUUACCCAUUAAAUAAUUGUGUAAUGUAGAAUAAUGUUUCAACAUUACAAGGUGUGUAUUCAUGUAUUCAAUUGAUCAAUAAAUUAAAUCCAUUAUCUGCUUAACAACAUCUGCUUCUCACUAUGGACCAGAGGCCUCUUCUAGAAUAAGUUUGCCCCAAAAAGAUCUAGACAUAUUUAUUGUAAAACCCUUUACCAGGUUUUAGUGCAGCUGAUGGGACAUACAGAAGAAUGCUGCUAUAGGAAAUGUAGUUGUGGUUCUCAUCCUCUGUCUCUCUGGCUUCAUGUGGUUCAGGUGAGCAUCUUUCUAAGACUUAUCUUCUACUUUAUCAUUUUGAUUUGUUAUCAACGUGAUUGUUAUUCAAUGAUUGACUCAUUCAUUCACUUGUGUAAAAAAACAUUAAAGUCAGCAGGGAAUGGACAGGUGAGUUGAGGUCAAAAAGUAUUUGUUUUCUUUCAGAUCUUUUAACAGUGCUCGAUUAAUCUUGCCUGGCACAAUGGAACCAAUGGAAUAUUCCCAAGGUAUGCUUAUAUUGUCUGUCUUUUCUCCUCCAGGGAGACUCAGUCCAGUGUAUGACAACGUCUCAGGCAUGGCCAUGGCCCCUACCGUGGCACAGACUAACAGGGUGAUGCUGACUACGCCAAUGUCCACCUAUCUUGCUCCAAUAACCAGGAAGUGACUCUGUACUCCACUGUCCAACCUCCUCAACCACAGAAAGAGGAUGAGGAUGUCCAGUAUGAUGCUGUGAAAUUCAACUGCCCUAGUGCUGGGACCCGACCUACGGCACAAGAAGCUGAGUAGGACACCCCUCUAGUCAUCAAACCCAGAACCAAGGAGACCACAACCAACCACAAGACCAGAAUACAAGAUGAUAUUGUCUGCAUCCCAAAUGGUACCUUGUUCCCUCUGGUGCACUAUGUAGGGAAUGGGGUGUCAUUUUGGAUGAAGCUGAACACCAGAAGACAAGAUGACUCUGCCUGGACUCCCAAUCACGGCCCGUUGUGAUACAGCCUGGAAUCAAACCAGGGUCUGUAGUGUCACCACUUGCACUGAGACACAGUGCUUUAGACCGCUGCGCCACUCGGGAGCCCUACUAUAGGGGCUUGGACAAGUUCUACAUGGGUCGCUGGCUAAUGGCUUGAGCCUGAGCUGACUGAGCUUCUUUGUAUAUCUGAAAGGGAACAAGAUAAUACACCUAACUCGUCAUUGCAGGUUGUUUUUUUUAGCUCUUUGCGUGUAUUUUAUCGAGAGGAAACUGUUGCCUAUAAUGUUGUAGAGUGUCAUGGUCAUCGCAAAACAAACUGGGAAAUAAUUUCUGUAACUUCAUUAAUGUGGUGGUCACACUGUUGUUCACGUCGGACCCUAUUCAGAUUUGAGAAUUUAACAUCGACUUAAGUCCCAAAAUAUUGCCUAAUGUCCAUGUUUUAUUGACUUCAGUCCAUAUUAAGGCUACAUAUCUCAAGUCUGAAUAGGGACCUUCAUACACAUCUUGCAAUUAACAUUGUAAUUGCUUAGAUUUUUUGGCAAAUGCAAUAUAAUUUAUCAUGAGAAUGAUUUUGGGUUAAAUCAUCCCUUUUUAAACAAAAGUAUACGCUGGGCUUGAUUUCACUUAGUACGCUCCAUGUAUUAAAUAACACAAUAUAAUCAGUUUUAUUUAAUGAGGCCUAACAAUAAAUGUGCACAGUGAUUUAAACAUCACAUCCAUACACCAGACUAGAAUAAACUUACAAAUAGUCUGUCUGAAAUGACAUCAUAUUCCCUAUAUAAUGUCGGUUGACAUUUGGGAUGCAGAAAUCCUCUAACAGUUAGAAGCCAAACAAAUGACGCCGGGAACUCAAUGUCCAUAUGUUUUUUAAAUUUAUUUAUUUAAAAAAUAUAGAUUUUUAUUUUUUAUUUUUUUAUUAUCAACAACAAAUCAAUACAGAAAGUACAUAAGGGAACACAAGUAUAUAUAGAUUAUAUACAAUGGACAAUCGAGCUAGGGGGUACAAUAUCACAUUACAAUUACACAAUGACCUUAAGGGAUUAAGGGACAUACAUAUACUUACAAUUCUAACAGCUUUUUUGUUAGUAGAGUAUUUAACUGUCUUAAAAUACAGUUCAAUUUCUUUUUUGUAGGGUAAGAAAAUGUGUUUUUUUGUUUGUAAAUUUACAUGUGUAUAUGAAAUUUGGCCAAAAGAAUAAUGAAAUUAAUGACAUAAAAAUAUUCCAGCUUAUUUCUAUCGUAUGUGAAGAAUCCAAACAGUACAUCUCUCCACAAUAGUGUAAAAUCUUCAUAAAUGUGUUCAAUUAUAAACCUACUGAUGUCUUGCCACAGUUUUCUUACAUGAAUACAAUGCCAAAAAAGAUGCAACACUGUUUCUGGGUGGUCAUUACAAAAGGAGCAAUUUGAGUUGAUGUUUUCCUUAAACUUCUUCAUAUAGUGGUUGGCAGGAU